AUUGAACGCUGGCGGCAUGCUUUACACAUGCAAGUCGAACGGUAACAGGCCGCAAGGUGCUGACGAGUGGCGAACGGGUGAGUAAUGCAUCGGAACGUGCCCAGUCGUGAGGGAUAACGCAGCGAAAGCUGUGCUAAUACCGCAUACGAUCUAUGGAUGAAAGCGGGGGACCGUAAGGCCUCGCGCGAUUGGAGCGGCCGAUGUCAGAUUAGGUAGUUGGUGGGGUAAAGGCUCACCAAGCCAACGAACUGUAGCUGGUCUGAGAGGGCGACCAGCCACACUGGGACUGAGACACGGACCAGACUCCUACGGGAGGCAGCAGUGGGGAAUUUUGGACAAUGGGCGCAAGCCUGAUCCAGCAAUGCCGCGUGCAGGAAGAAGGCCUUCGGGUUGUAAACUGCUUUUGUACGGAACGAAAAGGUUUGGGUUAAUACCCUGGGCCGAUGACGGUACCGUAAGAAUAAGCACCGGCUAACUACGUGCCAGCCGCCGCGGUAAAAC
rnacentral:rRNA from 1 species